rnacentral:tRNA from 1 species
AAGGCCUUAGUUUAAUUAAAACAUUUGAUUUGCACUCAGAAAAUGCAAGAUAGAGUCUUGUAGGUCUUA